rnacentral:misc_RNA from 1 species
CAUCAUGGGAGAGUGCUACUAUUCAAAAUGGCUUCGGAUACAGAAUCAGGGUCAGAGUACGAGGUUGUGAAGAUUUUGCAACAAAGGCGCAGACGAGGCCUGACAGAAUUCCUGGUACGAUGGAGUGGCUUUGGACCUCAGGAAGAUUCUUGGGAACAAGAAGGCAAAUUGAAAAACUGUGGAAAACUUAUUCAAGAUUUCGUUAAAUCAAGCUUGACACCUGCUAAGAAAACAACAAAGAGGGCUUCUAGGUCACGAUCUUCAUCACGAUCGAGGUCAAGGUCACGGUCAAGAGGUAGAGCAUCAUCGAAAAGCCGAAAAUCUCCUUCGAGGAAAAAGGUAGCCACUCCAGUGACAGAGAAACCUGUGAGCAUCCGUCAGUCAAGGAGGUUAACUGCUGGUGCUGAUGUUGUAAAGGAAACAACAACUACAACCACAAGAACGGUGGAGGAAUUAAAACCGUUAAACAGUGUUGAUGAGGAUGUCAAACGAACAGUGGUUAAAGAAACCUGGACAACAAAGACCACACAAGCAAAGUCAACUGAUGACCGUAAACCAGCAUGGCAGCCUCAGCUUCCAGAGUUCCUCCGCCUGAACACAUCCGAUGUUCCUGUCAUGAUCAUCUUCUCGUGUAUAACCAUCAUCACACUUUGUUUUCUGCUGGAAAGAUAUGUCGAUUUUGAAGCGGUAUGGAACAGUCUGGCUGCAGGGUGUGAGGCAGUUAUUGCCCAAGUUGAGAGUCUAAGAUCAGGAAGUGAAAAGGUUGCGGCAGGAAAACAAAAGUGAAGCCCUUAGGACUGGACGAUUUUGACGUGAUUAUCCCUCCCAACCAUAAACUGUACAGACUGAAUGCAACAGGCAGCAUGUUUCUCCUCCUCUUGACAAAGAGUGUACUGGACGCGUGGAAGUGCCAUGGAGAGAGACAAAGUAUCGUUCUCCUCCUCCUCCUCCUGACGAAGAGUGUACCGGACGUGUGGAAGUGCCACGGAGAGAGACAAAGCAUUGUAAAAAGAUGUUGUGACGGAAUAUGUAAAUUACCCCUUGCUAACCAUGUAAACACUGUAAUAUUCUUAAACAUUUUUAACCUAGUAUUGUUGAUUUUUUUAAUGAAAUGUGUUAACUAUUUUACUAAGAAGUAUUAGGUAAGCUACUCUUUGCAAUUACAAUUAAUCCUCUUACAAAAGUAAUGAAAAUAUUGUAUACCGGUCAAGUAAUUUCUGUUUAAUGUUUUCUUCUCUUUUUUUUUCAUGUGGUAGAUUCCAAUGAGUUUUGUGUUUGUAACAGUUACGUAUAAUUGACCGUCUCAUGUCUGUGGAACCUUGCAAUUGUGCUUUGUGACAUGUGACUGAACGACUGUUGAAAGCUAUAUUUUAUAAAGCUGGUUGUAAAGUGGUAGUGAAAUCAGGGAUUUGGGUUCAGGGAGAUAGCUCAAUACUCCUCUACGAUGGCUGGCUGGCUGGUCCACUGUAAAUAUUGUGCACAGCUUAAUCAUUGUGAAACUUUGCUUCAAGAAUUGUCCUCUAUAUUUUAAGCUCUAACAGGUAGUAAACUUUUUAGGAUUGCAAUCUCUUAUCAAAACUUAAGCUUGAAUGACAAAGAGCUUCUUUCCGGGAGGUCAAACAAUUUACUCAUUCACCCCUGAAGACACAUUUGAACUCUUCCAAUUCAAAGGUUGGGAUAGUUCAUAAUAAAACUCCAGAGGUGAAUAAGUUAAUGAACUGCAAUAUAAAAUAUAAAAUCAUGCCAAUCAACAUAUGAUGAACUGGUUAUGUGAUGCCUUCCAAGGUCUUGCUAGUGAUUUCUUCUGAAACAGUCAGAUACAUAUGUUUUAGACUAACCACAAGUAAACUAACAAUAGGAUGGUAUUAAAGAUAUAUCCAAAUAAAGCAUGUUACAAUAACUGCUAGGGACCAAAGUAUGACAUGUUUAAAGUGCUGAAUGAAAUCAUUGGUAAACGUGUUAAUGUUGUAUAUACAUGUGUUAUCUAGUUUAGUCUAUAUGAGAGUAAACCAGUCUUAGUAAAAAGAUUAAAACGAUGUUGAAGAAAGGUAUACACACAUCCUCCAACUGACAGGUGAACUUCCUGUUCCAACUGACAGGUGAACUUCCUGUUCCAACUGACAGGUGAACUUCCUGUUCCAACUGACAGGUGAACUUCCUGUUCCAACUGACAGGUGAACUUCCUGUUCCAACUGACAGGUGAACUUCCUGUUCCAACUGACAGGUGAACUUCCUGUUCCAACUGACAGGUGAACUUCCUGUUCCAACUGACAGGUGAACUUCCUGUUCCAACUGACAGGUGAACUUCCUGUUCCAACUGUCAGGUGAACUUCCUGUUCCAACUGACAGGUGAACUUUCUGUUCCAACUGACAGGUGAACUUCCUGUUCCAACUGACAGGUGAACUUCCUGUUUGUUGAUGAUACCAAGGUCAACUUUCACCAGUUGAAGCAUUCAAUCUGUACAAAAUGCCAAGACCAAUCAAAUAAUUGUAUUGUUGAUCCUAGUCACAAAUUUCUACUUGGCCAUCGAACAUUUUAAUUUUUAAUUUUACGUGCACAUGUGAAAAUUGCAACAUCUGAUGCAGAAGAUCAUGUCUUGUGUCUUUUAUAACCAACCAUUUACAAUUAUUAAACAGAAAAUAUAUUCAUACAGCAAUUUUGCUAUCAUUUGUGUAAAGCUGACAUUUCAUUUUAUUAUCAUUUUAUAUGUCGGUUGACUAUGUACUACCCACCGUUUUGUGUAGGUCCCCACCAAUCCAUAGCUUUGUGUGUAUCAGUCCAAGUGCAAUGAUAUCCAUGUAUUGUUCUCCCAGGAAACUUUCAGAAAGGAUCAAGGUAGUUGUCUACGUUCUGUAGAGGCAGCAUACAAGUAGCGUGACAAGGUUGGCUUUACAUAGAAUCAUGUUAGAAGAAAGAAAGGGAGCAUGAUACUCUCGCAAAAUCAGGCAAAGAGCGAAGACAGAAUGCUUAAAAAAGGAAAUAAAAACAUGCCUGUUUGAGAUAGUUAAAUGAUGUGUUGUGCAGAUAGAAAUGUCUCUGGAGAACUGUUUAUACCUGCUUACAACAGCAUGGAUACCUUAUUUCAACAUAAUCUCACCAUUUACCUUUUUGAAGUAUAUUUUCUUAAACACUUCAGUAGUAAUGCCUUGCAUGGGCUCAUUGAAUUGUCAUAUAUGUAAUUUUUUAUUGACAGAUUUUCAUGCACGUUUAAAUGAUGUUUCUUGUUUCUUGAUGAAAACUUAAUGGAGUGAUUACAGGUCUCGCACGCAGCUGUUUUAUUAGAAUCCGCAAAAUUUUAAUGCGGAAGUUGUUGGAAAACUGACAAAAUGGUGGAAGUAUCAACAUGUGGUGUUAAGUGUACGACUGUGUGUUACCUGUUUGUGUGUUUAUAUCAUUACAAA